GCCAGCGUAGCUCAGCGGCAGAGCAGCGGUUUUGUAAACCGCUGGUCGUCGGUUCGAUCCCGACCGCUGGCUCCA
rnacentral:tRNA from 1 species